rnacentral:misc_RNA from 1 species
UUUUCUCCUUGCUGCAAAUGGUCUGUUGGUGCUUUUCAUUGCUAUCAACCUCUUUAAACUGUACUAUGGUGAUGACUGGGCUGGUCUUUUUGAGGCUAUAACUGGUUAUGGUCUUGGUGGAUCUUCAAUGGCCCUUUUUGGUAGAGUUGGUGGAGGUAUUUAUACCAAAGCAGCAGAUGUUGGAGCUGAUCUUGUGGGCAAGGUGGAGAGGAACAUUCCUGAAGAUGAUCCUAGAAACCCAGCGGUGAUUGCUGACAAUGUUGGAGACAAUGUCGGAGAUAUUGCUGGUAUGGGAUCAGAUCUUUUUGGAUCUUAUGCAGAGUCAUCCUGUGCAGCUCUUGUUGUUGCUUCAAUCUCAUCCUUUGGUGUCAAUCAUGAGCUUACUGCUAUGCUAUAUCCCCUUCUCGUCAGCUCUGUCGGCAUCCUUGUGUGUUUGCUUACCACCUUAUUUGCAACUGAUUUCUUUGAAGUCAAGGCUGUUAAGGAAAUUGAGCCAGCAUUGAAGAAGCAACUCAUUAUCUCAACCAUUCUCAUGACUAUUGGAAUUGCUUUUGUUAGUUGGAUUGCCCUUCCAUCGACCUUCACAAUAUUCAAUUUUGGAGUUCAGAAAGAAGUAAAGAACUGGCAAUUGUUCUUGUGUGUUGGAGUUGGUUUGUGGGCUGGACUCAUUAUUGGGUUUGUCACUGAGUACUAUACCAGCAAUGCCUACAGCCCCGUCCAAGAUGUUGCUGAUUCAUGCCGCACUGGUGCUGCCACCAAUGUCAUCUUUGGCCUUGCCUUGGGUUACAAAUCCGUCAUCAUUCCCAUUUUUGCCAUUGCAAUCAGUAUAUUUGUUAGCUUCAGCUUUGCUGCAAUGUACGGCAUUGCAGUUGCUGCCCUUGGAAUGCUGAGCACUAUAGCCACUGGUUUGGCAAUUGAUGCAUAUGGUCCCAUUAGUGAUAAUGCUGGAGGUAUUGCUGAGAUGGCAGGCAUGAGCCACAGAAUCCGUGAGAGGACUGAUGCC